rnacentral:rRNA from 1 species
CCUACGGGAGGCAGCAGUGAGGAAUAUUGGUCAAUGGGCGAAAGCCUGAACCAGCCAAGUCGCGUGAGGGAAGACUGCCCUAUGGGUUGUAAACCUCUUUUGUCAGGGAGCAAUUGGCGCUACGUGUAGCGUUAUCGAGAGUACCUGAAGAAAAAGCAUCGGCUAACUCCGUGCCAGCAGCCGCGGUAAUACGGAGGAUGCGAGCGUUAUCCGGAUUGAUUGGGUUUAAAGGGUGCGUAGGCGGAAUGCCAAGUCAGCGGUAAAAUCGCGGGGCUCAACCUCGCUCCGCCGUUGAAACUGGCGUUCUUGAGUGGGCGAGAAGUAUGCGGAAUGCGUGGUGUAGCGGUGAAAUGCAUAGAUAUCACGCAGAACUCCGAUUGCGAAGGCAGCAUACCGGCGCCCAACUGACGCUGAAGCACGAAAGCGUGGGUAUCGAACAGGAUUAGAUACCCGGGUAGUC